UGGGGAAUAUUGCACAAUGGGCGCAAGCCUGAUGCAGCCAUGCCGCGUGUAUGAAGAAGGCCUUCGGGUUGUAAAGUACUUUCAGCGGGGAGGAAGGGAGUAAAGUUAAUACCUUUGCUCAUUGACGUUACCCGCAGAAGAAGCACCGGCUAACUCCGUGCCAGCAGCCGCGGUAAUACGGAGGGUGCAAGCGUUAAUCGGAAUUACUGGGCGUAAAGCGCACGCAGGCGGUUUGUUAAGUCAGAUGUGAAAUCCCCGGGCUCAACCUGGGAACUGCAUCUGAUACUGGCAAGCUUGAGUCUCGCAGAGGGGGGUAGAAUUCCAGGUGUAGCGGUGAAAUGCGUAGAGAUCUGGAGGAAUACCGGUGGCGAAGGCGGCCCCCUGGACGAAGACUGACGCUCAGGUGCGAAAGCGUGGGGAGCAAACAGG
rnacentral:rRNA from 1 species